rnacentral:rRNA from 1 species
ACGAACGCUGGCGGCAGGCUUAACACAUGCAAGUCGAGCGAGGACUUCGGUCCUAGCGGCGGACGGGUUAGUAACGCGUGGGAACGUGCCCCUUUCUUCGGAAUAGCCUCGGGAAACUGGGAGUAAUGCCGGAUACGCCCCUUACGGGGGAAAGAUUUAUCGGAGAGGGAUCGGCCCGCGUUGGAUUAGGUAGUUGGUGGGGUAAUGGCCUACCAAGCCGACGAUCCAUAGCUGGUUUGAGAGGAUGAUCAGCAACACUGGGACUGAGACACGGCCCAGACUCCUACGGGAGGCAGCAGUGGGGAAUCUUGGACAAUGGGGGCAACCCUGAUCCAGCCAUGCCGCGUGAGCGAUGAAGGCCUUAGGGUUGUAAAGCUCUUUCAGCGGGGAAGAUAAUGACGGUACCCGCAGAAGAAGCCCCGGCUAACUCCGU